rnacentral:rRNA from 1 species
UACGUAGGAUGCGAGCGUUGUCCGGAAUUAUUGGGCGUAAAGAGAACGUAGGCGGUUUGUUAAGUUUGGGCUUAAAGACUGGGGCUCAACCCCAGGAGUGGCUCGAAAACUGACAGACUAGAGGAUGGCAGAGGAAAGUGGAAUUCCCAGUGUAGCGGUGAAAUGCGUAGAUAUUGGGAGGAACACCGGUGGCGAAAGCGACUUUCUGGGCCAUUCCUGACGCUGAGGUUCGAAAGCUCGGGGAGCAAACAGG